UCUACUUGUGGUGUCAGUUUUCAUUACACUGAUGGUAUAAUGAGCUUUGGGGUUGUUCUCUGGUAAAUUUUUCAUUCAUCUUGGUUUUAGAUAGUUCUUGUUGUUUUUUUGUGGCCAUCACAGGAGUUCACUGCAAUAAACUGUUUCCCUUUGAUCCUGCAUGGAGGUAGGGGCUCUGGUGAGGGAUCUAGUGGCUUAUCAGCCUGUGAUGUCCACUCCUACUUCCCCAUUGUCGGGAGCUUUCCUUAACUUCUUUCUACCUUGCCUCAACAGGAUUCAUGAAUCCUAAGCCUCAUUCUUCACAAACUAGUUGUGAGACUUCUGAUACCAAGAACUUCCAGUUCCUGUGAGAGAGCAAAGCUGUGAGAUGUGAAGCACCCCAAUGCUUGAGUUACCUCAUCAAGGAAAGUUGUGUCCCCACCAGGAACACCUGCAUUGGACAGUUCUGCAAAUGAGAAACAAACUUCUGUUGUAUUAAGUCACAGAGUUUAGGUUUAUUUGUUAUAGCAGCUAUGAUUUCCCUAACUAAUACAGUUGAUUUCUGAAAUAAUUCACAGUGCUGGCAGAAAGGAAUAAAGUAAAAUGUUAUUAUAUUACUGUCAUUUCAUUUGAGAAAAGAUAAAAAUCAGAAGGGAGGAUAACUCUAAAGAAAUUUCCCCAAGCUUUCUUAAGUCAUUGGAGAAUAUUCACAAUUAGUAUAAAAAUGAAACAACAAUAAUAAUACCAAUACAUAGUAUCUAUGCCUAAUAGGUUUGUACUCCCUCGAUUUACAUUUUAAUUUCCUUGAACUGGCUCAUGACACAUUCUUAUGUGGGAUUCAACAUUUAGCAACCAAUAUGAUUUCCUUCUUUCUGGGCUUUUCUUACUCCUCUCUUUACCCUCCCACAUCCAUAUCCCUGCUGCCUUCUCCUUCCCACAAAGCUCAUUUUUGGCAAAAUGGUUUUUAUAAACUGCACAUUUUAAUGAAUUAAGUGUAAUCCCACAGUCACACUUGCAUUUUCCCACAUUCCCCUGACUUCCACACUCUUGCUAUGGGAAUUUGCCCUUACACCUCCAGAAAAAAGAAUGCAUUAAAAAUUCUGUCUAUAAGUAGAAAAGUUAUGCACAGAAUGUGACAGCUUUUCCACUUUUUCUUUUUGAAAAUGUAAGAGGGAAGAUAAUUUUCAAACAUUGCCUGUCCUCUGAGAAAGUAAAAAAAUAAUCCGUGUUGUUUUUCUUUUGACAGUCAUGAAACUGGUUAUGAUCAUAAAUCCAUAGUUCACCUUUCAUCCUUUUUAGUGGAAGCUUUAUAGACUGGCUUCUACCCUGCCAAAGACAAAAACUGAACCAUUUGAUAGCAGAAAAAUUUAAG